GGAUUCGCNUGGGCGAAGCCUGACGCAGCAACNCCGCGUGGAGGAUGAAGGCCUUCGGGUCGUACACUCCUGUCAGCGGGGACGAAAGCCGAAAGGUUUGACUGUACCCGCUGAGGAAGCCACGGCUAACUCCGUGCCAGCAGCCGCGGUAAUACGGAGGUGGCAAGCGUUGUUCGGAAUUACUGGGCGUAAAGGGCGCGUAGGCGGCAUGNCAAGUCAGAUGUGAAAGCCCCGGGCUCNNCUCGGGAAUUGCNUCUGAAACUGCUUUGCUUGAGUCCUGGANGGGGUAGUGGAAUUCCCAGUGUANCGNUGAAAUGNNUANAUAUUGGGAGGAACACCGGUGGNCNANGCCNCUACCUGNGACAGUGACUGACNCUGAGGCGCGAAANCUAGGNGAGCANACUUGAUUAGAUACCCCGGUAGUCCUA
rnacentral:rRNA from 1 species